rnacentral:rRNA from 1 species
GUUUCCGUAGGUGAACCUGCGGAAGGAUCAUUACUGAGUGAGGGCCCUCGGGCUCGACCUCCAACCCUUUGUGAACACAACUUGUUGCUUCGGGGGCGACCCUGCCGUCUCGACGGCCAGCGCCCCCGGAGGCCUUCAAACCCUGCAUCUUUGCGUCGGAGUCGAAGUUUAAGGAAAAACCAAAACUUUCAACAACGGUUCUCUGGUUCUGGCUCCGAUAAAGAACGCAGCGAAAUGCGAUAAGUAAUGUGAAUUGCAGAUUCCAGUGAAUCAUCGAAUCUUUGAACGCACAUUGCGCCCUUUGGUAUUCCGAAGGGCAUGCCUGUUCGAGCGUCAUUUCACCACUCAAGCCUCGCUUGGUGUUGGGCGCCGCGGAGGUUACCGCGCGCCUCAAAGUCUUCCGGCUGAGCUGUCCGUCUCAAGCGUUGUGAUUUCAUUAAUCGCUUCGGAGCGCGGGCGGUCGCGGCCGUUAAAUCUUUCACAAGGUUGGACUCGGAUCAGGUAGGGAUACCCGCUGAACUUAAGCAUAU